rnacentral:rRNA from 1 species
UCCCAUAGUGUAAACUAGUAAGACCCCUGAAAGACCAUCAGGUAGAUAGGACAGAGGUGGAAGUGCAGUAAUGUAUGUAGCUGACUGUUACUAAUAGGUCGAGGGCUUGACCUAAAA